AGUAAAUUGGUUAAGUUAGAAAGGGCGCACGGUGGAUGCCUUGGCACUAGGAGCCGAAGAAGGACGGGACUAACACCGAUAUGCUUUGGGGAGCUGUACGUAAGCGUUGAUCCAGAGAUUUCCGAAUGGGGGAACCCACUAUCUUUAGUCGGAUAGUAUCCUUACGUGAAUACAUAGCGUGAGGAAGGCAGACCCAGGGAACUGAAACAUCUAAGUACCUGGAGGAAGAGAAAGAAAAAUCGAUUUCCUGAGUAGCGGCGAGCGAAACGGAAAGAGCCCAAACCAAGAAGCUUGCUUCUUGGGGUUGUAGGACACUCUAUACGGAGUUACAAAAGAAA
rnacentral:rRNA from 1 species